rnacentral:rRNA from 1 species
GUGGGGAAUAUUGGACAAUGGGCGAAAGCCUGAUCCAGCCAUGCCGCGUGAGUGAUGAAGGCCUUAGGGUUGUAAAGCUCUUUCAGUAGGGAAGAUAAUGACGGUACCUACAGAAGAAGCCCCGGCUAACUUCGUGCCAGCAGCCGCGGUAAUACGAAGGGGGCUAGCGUUGUUCGGAUUUACUGGGCGUAAAGCGCACGUAGGCGGAUUGGUCAGUUAGAGGUGAAAUCCUGGAGCUCAACUCCAGAACUGCCUUUAAUACUGCCAGUCUAGAGUCCAGAAGAGGUGAGUGGAACUCCUAGUGUAGAGGUGGAAUUCGUAGAUAUUAGGAAGAACACCAGUGGCGAAGGCGGCUCACUGGUCUGGUACCGACGCUGAGGUGCGAAAGCGUGGGGAGCAAACAGGAUUAGAUACCCUUGUAGUCC